rnacentral:lncRNA from 13 species
AUGAGCCCCUGCACUGGCCUCUGCACAGUCCUCAGCCACCCCUACCUCAUGCUUUUGGGGUCCAGGGGCUGUAACCAGGCAGGCAUGUCACCAGGCAACAGGUGCCGGGGGAGAGCUCAGAUCUCCGGCACCUGCCUGCCAGCCUCCAGAAUGCCCAUGGGGGGGAGGAGGCGGGGUAGGAACUGCCUUCUCCCGCCUCCUGUCUGUUUACCUGUACUCAGCCACAGUGCCGUCCCGGACCCAGCAGGAGGAGCCCCAUGGAGCCUGGGGCCACAGGCCACAGGGGACAAGGGCCAGACACCCUGGCCAUGGCUCUGGGCCAUUGAUCCAGCCCAGGCAGGCCCGGUGGGGGUAGGGAGGCCUUGGCCUGGACAAACAGAGGCUCCUGCGGCCUGCGUGCAGGCGCGGCACCUAUCUGCCACUCCCAAAGGAUGCCCAUGGCUGAGGCCCCCCAGGUGGCUGGCGGGCAGGGUGAUGGAGGUGAUGGCGAGGAAGCAGAGCCAGAGGGGAUGCUCAAGGCCCACAAGGACUCCAAGAGAAAAGCCCGGGACUACCUCCGCCUGAUGCCCUUGUGGUUGGCCCUGGUUGCACUGGCUUUGGUGGGAGUGCUACUCUGGUAUUUCCUAGGUAAUGUCAUGGGACUGCCUAGGAGAGGCACCUGGGGAGGACUUGGGGUGGCCAUAGCAGGCACAGCAGGACAGAACUGGGUUCCAGGUUAAGCCAUGCUUAAUAUGUUGAUGUGUGACCUUGGGCAAGUCCUUUCUCCUCUCUGGGUCUCCCUCCAUGUCCUGCCAGCUGGAGAUGCUGUCAGAUCCUGGUUCCAGGUCCUAUGGCUCAGGUCUGCUCCCUGCUUGGGCAGAGUGCUGCAAAGCUCCCCACCAGGUGGGGAAAGAGGGGUCUCCUAGCAUCCAGUUCUUGUGAACCAACCAGCCCAGGGAGUAUAAACAUUGCCUUCUGUCCUCCUGGAUUGCCCCAGAGGCUUGGAGCCACCCAGACCUGAAGAAGGAGGCUAGAGGCACUGAUGGUACCUGGUACCAAUUAGUGCCUCUGCUCACUUGAGCCCAGCCUGGGUUCUCCUCUAGGGUGGGGACCAUAGUUCUAACCCCUCUGGGUCUUCAGGGCCCAGCAUGAAUAGGGGAUGGAGUGGGCAGCUGGAGAGCGGCCAUUCUUGGGGUCCUCUCCCAUGUCCUUAAUUAUGCCCCCUGAUCCCUGAUCUCACAGCCCUCAGUCAGUCCCCUGGUGCCCCAGGAGCAAUUGACCUGUGCUCUGGGCCCAUUCAUCCAGGCUUCCAUUCAUUCAUUCAUUCAUUCAUUGAAUAAACGCUCUUGAGCAUCUAUUACCUUUUUCUAA